CGAACGGCGGGAGGAAAGGGGCGGGUCGGGGCGGAGCCAGGGACACCUCAGAAGGCCUGCGAGGGUCUGAGACUGCUGGCGGUAGUUCCCACCCUCCGGACGCGGCUGCUGUAAACUUCGUUUCUUUGGGGCUCCCUCUCCCGCUCCAUCCCCUUUGCUGUUUACCGCCCCUUUCCGCGCGGUAGAGGCCUUCGGGUUUCAACAGUUUCAGUUCCUUAUCCCCUGCGGUCUGUGUCAGGAUCUCCUCCUUCCCUUGAGACUGGAAGCUACCCCUGAGGUUAGGGGUGUGCGGUCUGGACUUGGAGAGACCGCUGAGACACGCUGAGAGAUGAGUACAUUCUGGAUGACCCACUGAAGGACCCAGAUGUGAGUACGAAAAUCAUGAUUUUGGAUAAGGGAUCUGAUUAGGUGGUAUGAAAACUUUGUACCAGCAGUGGUUCUGAAAUCUAAAGUGGACUGUCCUUGGCCUCAAUUUCCCUAUUAUUUAUUUUUAAAAACCAUUUUACUGAAGAAUAAUAUAAUACCCAUUAUCUAUUUCAGUAGGAAUGGUGAGAAUGGCCCAA
rnacentral:lncRNA from 1 species